UACGGAGGGAGCUAGCGUUGUUCGGAAUUACUGGGCGUAAAGCGUGCGCAGGCGGUUUUGUAAGUCUGACGUGAAAUCCCCGGGCUUAACCUGGGAAUUGCGUUGGAGACUGCAAGGCUGGAGUCUGGCAGAGGGGGGUAGAAUUCCACGUGUAGCAGUGAAAUGCGUAGAGAUGUGGAGGAACACCGAUGGCGAAGGCAAUCCCCUGGGCCUGCACUGACGCUCAUGCACGAAAGCGUGGGGAGCAAACAGG
rnacentral:rRNA from 1 species